UGGGGUAUCGCCAAGCGGUAAGGCACCGGUUUUUGAUACCGGCAUUCCCUGGUUCGAAUCCAGGUACCCCAGCCAUC
rnacentral:tRNA from 1 species